AAUGCUGUUUUGUUUGUGUCGGCGAGUGCAUUUCUUAUCCUCUCCGCCGUGUGUUUCUAUUCACAUUCACCGCUCGUCCCAUUUUCACAUGUAAUGGGACUUUCGUGUCCAAUGCACAUUCGAUCCAUCAUCUCUUCCGUCCACCUGUUUGUCGUGUGUGUCUCUUGUGUGCGCCUCAAUGUUUACCUGCUGUCAGGGCCGCUUUAAUGGCGGUGUUUUAUUUCAUCGACUUUUUGUGUUGAUUUCAACAGUUUGCAGUGGCUUCAUCAUGGCUCUAAGGCGUAUGGAUUCAUUCAAACGAUUUAUGGAUCGGAUUCGGAAUUGGCGGAUGCUAAAAAUAAACUGUUAUGUGUAUACUCCUUUGCAGCACCAUCGCUAAGCAGAAGUUUUAUGCAAAACUAAAAGGAAAA